rnacentral:misc_RNA from 1 species
UUUCGACAUUCUGGACACAUGGAAUGGCCGCUCGCUGGGCGGCUGUGUCUACCAUGUCGCCCAUCCAGGGGGGCGGAGCUACGACACCAAGCCGGUCAAUAGCUACGCGAGGCGGCUUGCCCGCUUUCAGGACCACGGGCACACGCCGGGCCCGAUAACUGUGCCUUCCGAGGAACGGACCCUCGAAUUUCCCCUGACUCUGGACCUCCGGACGCCGC